UACGUAGGGUCCGAGCGUUGUCCGGAAUUAUUGGGCGUAAAGGGCUCGUAGGCGGUUUGUCACGUCGGGCGUGAAAACUCAGGGCUCAACCCUGAGCGUGCGUUCGAUACGGGCAGACUAGAGGUAUGCAGGGGAGAACGGAAUUCCAGGUGUAGCGGUGAAAUGCGUAGAUAUCAGGAGGAACACCGGGGGCGAAGGCGGUGAUCUGGGCGGACACUGACGCGGUAGAGCGAAAGCGUGGGAGCGAACAGG
rnacentral:rRNA from 1 species